UAUAAAGUUGGGACUUGAGGAGGUGAUGUGGCAUCACCAUUUUUUAUCUUUGUAUAUUCUCUAUUAUCUAAUAAAUAGAGAAAUUUUCUUUUAGAUUUGGUUUUUCAUCUUCUCAUAAUUAAUUUGAUUGUUAUUACACAAUAACAAUUAUGUAAAGGUUUUAAUGAGGCACAUUCUUUGUAAUGAACAUCCAAGGGAGAGUGUUAUGAAUUUAUUAAAAUAAAUGUGGAUGUUCAUAACAUAUAUCUCUUAGUCUCCCCACUAUCUCCCAUUAGCAACCUUUAGCUUCCCUAUAACUCCCACUAUCUCACAAUGACCCAUAAUUUUUCAUUAAUUUCAUGGAGUGAUUAUGUAACUAUAAAAGAAAAGCUCAUCUUUUUGUUUUGUACACACACAAUUUGAAUGAAUAAAAUCACUCUACUAAUAUAUUCUUUCAUUUUAUUCUUUAUAUUGCGUUGCUUCUUUAUUUGUAUUGCUGGCUAAUAUUUUUUUUAAUUUUUUUUAUAAGGCUGCGUCAUCUUAAAAAAAAUCAAUUCAUAUUUUUUAUCAGUUUCAUCAAGUGUAAAGUAAGAAAAAAGGAUAAUACUAAAUUCUUUUUUUAAAGCCGCGUGAAACGCGGUUCUAUUUUCUAGUAUAUAUAUAAAGCUGGAACUUGAGGAGGUGAUGUGGCAUCACCAUUUCUCAUCUUUGUAUAUUCUCUAUUAUCUAAUAAAUAGAGAAAUUUUCUUUUAGAUUUGGCUUUUCAUCUUCUCAUAAUUAAUUUGAUUGUUAUUACACAAUAACAAUUAUGUAAAGAUUUUAAUGAGGCAUAUUUUUUGUAAUGAACAUCUAAGGGGGAGUGUUAUGAAUUUAUUAAAAUAAAUGUAGAUGUUCAUAACAUAUAUCUUUUAGUCUCUCCACAAUCUCCUGUUAGCAACAUUUAGCUUCCCUAUAACUCCCACUAUCUCACAAUGAAUUAUGAUUCAUAAUUUUUCAUUAAUUUCAUGGAGUGAUUAUGUAACUAUAAAAGGAGAGCUCAUCUUUUUGUUUUGUACACAAACAAUUGGAAUGAAUAAAAUCACUCUAUAAUAUAUUCUCUCAUUUUAUUCUUUAUCUUGCGUUGCUUCUUUAUUUGUAUUGCUGGCUAAUAGCUUUUUUUUGUUUUUUAUAAGGCGGCCUCAUCUUAAAAAAAAAUCAAUUUAUAUUUUUUAUCAGUUUCAUCAAAUAUAUGUAGAGAAGCCAAUGCAUAUUAUAAGGGGGAAAUAACUCGAUCAAACCCGAUCCCACUCGAUUCGAUUCAAAAAAAGAAUUCGAAUCGGAUUAUUUACUCAACCUAACUGAAUCGUUAUCUAGAUUUCAUUAGACCAAAAGAAAAGUUGGGUGAAAAAAAACCUAAUUCUAAUUGAUCCAACUCAAUCUCACUCUAUUCUUCUCUUCACACACAACACAACGACAACAGCAGUCCCACCACACAAUCACAGACAUGCAGCAGCAGCAGCUGGCAACACACGAAACACAGAUCGAAGGCCGCUGACGGCACGACAGAAGGUAGAUGCAAAUACAGAUGCAACUGGCAAUCACUGACAAUUGUGCGAAGCCAUCGCGAGCCCGUGACUUGCCGACCAGAUGUGUUGCACCGUGACUGCUGUUGCCACUCAAAUCACCGAUCACCACAACCACUUCUAUAGGAUUCUCCGCCUCGCCAAGUUCCUCCAAGCUCCAACCCACAUUUUUUCUAGUGUGUACUUUUUAUUGGUAGAAGUCCAUUGAGCAAAACUUUAAAAAAUAAUUGUAUGAUUCCUCAAAAAUUAUGUUAAUUAUCCAUAUUUAGUGAUUGUGGAUGAAGUCAAUGGGAAACAGAAGGCUUUUUAUACAAAAUAAGCUGCUAAAAUGUUGAAGGAUUUCUAUAGGUACUGGUAUAAAUAUAAUUUGAACUUAAUUUAAUUAUUCCGCGAGGUUGUGAGAAACAUGGGAAACAAGAAAACUAGUUGCUGCCACCAGGCUUUGGACUUCUUUUGGGUGUUUUUGACACUUCAACGGUCUUGUUUUGGUUGUUUUUGGCUCACCAGUAGCUUGCUGCUGCUUCUCCAAUUUUGCCUUUGUUUUUUUUCAUAUUUAAUGUGAAUUGACCUGACCCGAUCUGAUCUAAUUUCACACCGAUAUUUUGAUCCGGUCCAAUCCAAACAGAUUGGGUCAGAUUUUAAAUUCGGGUUGAGUUAGAAUGACCUUUUUCUCAACCUGAUCAACCUCAAAUCUGAUCGGAUUGAUAUAAACCUUUUCAAAUUCAAUUUUAUUCGCCUUUAACAUAAAUUGCUAGAAUAAAAAAAAGUACAUUUCACUAACAAAUUAAAAUAAAAAAGAAAUUGGUCAUGGCCAUGGUAUUGCUGUCCAACGCUGACCCAUUAAUCCAAAAUGAAUAUAACAUUAAAAAAAUAUUUUUGAAUGGUCAACAUGACACAAUUAUUUUAUUGAUCAUAGUCAUGUCAAUUAAGAAUGACAAAUUUUUGUUGAAUAUAAUUAUCAUCCAUCCAUGUGUAGGUAUAUAAUUAUCCAAUAUGAAUAUUGA
rnacentral:lncRNA from 1 species